AUCAAUGGUGGCUCAGGCGGGGCAGCCUACGGGCUGGCCGGUAUCCAACGAGGCCGGUAUUUCCACCCCCGUCUGGGCUACCACCAAU
rfam:Brenneria sp. EniD312 chromosome, whole genome shotgun sequence.